AAAAGAAUUCAGCUGAGCCACCCCACCAGUGUCUGGCUUUAAAAUGGAAACCACGAUACGUGUCCCAGAUCAUCAGCUGGGCUGAGAGAGUCCGGGAUCACCGAGGAAAGCAGACCUCCUCCAGGACUAGUUUCUUCAAGUACAAGGUGGACAUGAUGUCCCUUUGAGUGGCCAGCUCGGAGGUAUUGCAGUGAGUGACACUGGGCAUGGCCUUGGAUCCACAGGGAAAGGGUCUAGAGAAGGGACUCAGAGUCCUUCAGACAGUGAGUGGCAGAGCUGGCUAUGGCUAAGGACGGGACAUAGUCCCUUUGAGUUAUUGAUGCUCUGCCGGGCCCCCUGGAAUGCUUCAAAGUCACCUCUCCCCAAGAAGUGUGAGCUGUGGCACCUGCAGAACCAGCCUGCAGGGGGUGGCGAACACCCAGCCAAUGUCCCCAGCCUGAGGCAGAUGGGCUUUUCUGCCCUCGAGGAGGCAGGCAGGGGAGUGGCCUGGCACACUCAGGGUUCAUGAGUAGAGCUCCUGCCGUGUGGCCCAGUGGGCCACCUCCUCUGGGCCUCAGUUUCUCCAGAUGAAUCAGAUGGCUGAGCUCUGAGGCCAUCCAUCCACGUGGCACCCAGGACUUGAAGCUGUCCCUACAGGGCAGUUGAGGAGGAACAGCCUGCUCUACCACGGUCUUCUGGGACGGAGGGAGACAGCGAGGUGACUCAGCAAAUAAUGGAACACUUCCAAGCCUGAUGACCGGAGUUCAAUCCCCGGGACCCAUAUGGAGGAAGGAGGGAUUCAACUCCUACAAGUUGUCCUCUGACCGCGCCCCCCACACGCAAUUAAUAAAUUAAUGUAAAAUGUUAAAAACAACAACGAAAAAGAAGUCCUCUCAAGUUUAACAAAAACACCCCUCCCAGUUCCCAGGGCCAGGGCCAGGGCCACCCCCGCUAUAUCUCACACCCCAAAUUGGCAUACAUGCAUGGGUCUCCUCCAACUCAUAACCCUGGCCACAUAUACCCCCAGGACCAGGACUGUGCCUUUCCCCAAUUUCCAGAGCUCAGAGUGCAUGCGAAUGGGACUGUGGGGUGACAGGAAGAGACUUCCCGGUAGAACUAGGGUCCUUUACGUCGCGCUACACACCCUGCCCACUUGUGCGACGGAGAAAUGGGUGUUAGCCUGUUAAUACGGGGAUUUACAGCAGCCUCUGUCACUACUCAGUGGCCUGGCCGGCAGCCAGCGAGUGUAUUUCACCAAUAUUGACAGCUGCAACGGGGCUGCACUGAGGCGACUCAAAUGAGGAGGGAAUAUAUAUAUAUUUCCCUUUUGCAAACACUAUAAACAGGGCCUGGCUCCCAAGAGAAUCCAUUUCUGAUUGAGAAAGAUGAAGUGGACAGAUUGGAGACCCGGAGGAACCCAGGCACUGCCUUGGGGUGCAGCAGCCUAGGGUCUGCUUGAGUCCUGCACGCCGGAGCUGGAAAGGGGACAUAGGACAGUUGGGGUGGCAUGAUCCUCAGCCAGCAAGCGAGGCCUGAGAACUUCGUUGGGUUUUGACACCAAUGACAAGGGCAUGGUGAUGGUACAAUGUAUCCUCAAUGCCCUAAAGGCUGGACUGACACCACAGCAGUGCUCAAGGCAGAGCUGGUAGUGCUGGUCUUGAGCACACUGGUCUGGGUGGGCAGGGCCUUUCUGUCCCAGCCUCCAGGAGGGGUGGUGUCUGGCAAGAGAGCUUAAUCAGCUGUAAUCUCUCGCUCAAAAUAACCGAAAGUGGAGUUAAGUAGGAUUACAGGCCGAAAGAGGCUCCGAGAUGUCUCCUGCAGUGCGCCGGCCUCCUACGCACACAAUUGCAGCCUUGUUCAUCCUGGAUCUGAGAGAGCGAUGUCUCCUGUCCCUGUUGGAGGUGACCUCUGGGGGUGCUAACUCCUGACCUUUGCCUCGCUCACUCCAUGGCAGCCUUUGCCACAGGGGACCAUGGAGCUGAAGCCAGAUGCACAAGGCAGCCAGCAGCCCCCGAGAGGCUCCGGCCUGGAGAUGCAGGGAGGGGAGUCUGGUCUGCUGUUUCCUUCCCAACUAGAGCUGGGGCCCGAUCACUCCCUGUGGCCCUCCCUUCCUCCCUCCCUUCGCUGCUCCAGGCUGCUCUGAAGUUAAUUAGGGACCCAAACACUUAAUGGUCUCUGAAGCUUCCACCGGGCAUCUUUUUAAAUUAAAAAAGAUGAUGUAUUGCACCAUUGGAGGGAGAAAUCAGUCCGCAAAGGCUCCCUGUUCAAGCGCUGGCAGGCGUCUUCGGAGGAGGGUGCCAGGCUGGUCCCUGAAGAUGACAGACAGUGUGUGACCCUCUCCAGGAACUCUGCCACGGUUCCCAUUGUCAGACAGAGAGCCUCAUCUAAAAGCAAGCAUGGGUCUGGGUGUCCCAUCACACCCCCCAUAACUCUGACAGCCAGGAGGUUCUAUCUUUAGUCUGACCUGAAUCUUUCCAGUUGUUUUGAGAGAAGGCUGGUCUGAGAUCUGCUAUUCCCCACUAGAGCUGUGCUGACCGCUGAGAAUCCCUGAGUUCCAGAAAGCCCCUUUCUGAUUCUCCCAACCUCAAGAACUCUGAUUCUAUUUGGGGGCUUGAUAUUGGCCUGGUGGGAAGCCCAGGAGUUCUAUUGUUGGAGGCUGCUGGGACCCGGAGACAACAUGAGUCUGGUCUCACUGUCCUCUCCCAGACAGGCCUGGGUACAGACACAUCUGCAAGCCACUCGCCAGGUCAGGCUGACCCUUGUGCUAUCGGCAUCUUGGCUGUUGGAUCUGUACUCAUUCCCGGCAAUUUCUCAUGAACUCAAGAUUUGGAGGCAUCAUUCUGAACUGAGGUCAUAAAUGCGCCACUAUUCUUCAGACGUUACAAUUAUCCGCGAACUAAAAGCCCACGCAAGGGGCGCUGAAGAGAGGACCAGCGCGUAAGGUUCUUCUAUGGAAGUGGGAGGACCCGAGUUCGAUCCCCAGUCCCUCAUGAAAGCUAGACCUCACAGUACAUGCAACCUCAGUGCUGUUCCAAGUUCAGUGAGAGACCCUGUUUCAAAAAUGAUGUGGAAGGCAUGAGACGUGGGCUCUUCAAACAGCCACACCACCUCCCCCAUACACACAUAAUUAAUUAAUGAGCAAUUAGUCCCCAAUAUUAUGUUAAUUAGGGAAAUUAAGGAAAACACACAAAAUCCAGCCUGAGGCUAUUGGCAUUAAGACAUGUAUGGCUGGAACCACUGUGUAUCUGAGCCUCCAGCUGCCCCUCUGUGGGACACGACUCCAUGGGUCUAUGACCUCUUGACACAGUCCACAUCCCCAACAAGAGUGUGUUGGAAGGAAAGGAGCCCACACCAUCCCCUCAUACCCAGGGCUGCCCACAUUCCGUUUGUCCUGAGAGUUGUCGCUGCACUGCAAGUUCUGAGGAGGUGUGUGAAAGGUAUCCUCCUGCCUGGGGCUCACCCUGCUUCUAUGGCGUCUACUGCUACAGCCACCACCAGAAUGCCCUGUCCCCUUGGGAGCUCCCACAGCUACCAGAAUCUCCCAGAGGCCACAUCACACCCACCCCAACAGGCAUCGAGGAGUGACAUUCAACCACCGAGGAGACUCCCCUGAGCCAAGUAUGGGAGUUCACAGCCUUGCAGCUCCCAGGAGCCUGACGCAAGCUUGUAAGUUCACGGUCAGCAGAUCCUUGGCUUGAGAGCCCAGCCUUGGCUCCCACAGCUCGGCAGAGUGGGGACAAUGGCUUGCCCUCUGAGAGGACAACGCCUUACACUUGCCUGGUCUCAUAUCAAUGUUCGCUGCAUGUGGAAAAAGGAUCAGAAUCGACUCCAUCCCCCGCCUAAGUAGCAGCAAAUGGUUCUGACAAGAUGUAUUGACCAAUCUAUUCCUUUAGGUUGAUUCCUAAUGCUCCAAUCUCGCCUCCCCCUCCCUCCUUCCCUCCUUCCCAACCUUGCUCAGCUGGCAACCUUCCUCCAGGACAUUUGCAUAUCGUCACGGAUGACCCCAGUAGGGUUGAGGAGACGGCUCCCUCAGUCAGUAAAAAUGCUCACUGUGCAAGGAAGAGGCCCAGGUUUCAUCUCCAGAACCAACAUUAAAAGCAGGCCUGGUCACACUUGCUUACGAUCCCAGAGCUGAGAAGGUAAAGCCAAGGGAUCCCUGGGGCUGGCUGGGCAGUCAGCUUUGCCUAAUUGGUGAGCCCUGGAGAGGGAGAGAUCCUGUCUCAAAAACAAGGUGAUGGUACCCGGGGAGCUAAGGUUGACCUUCAGCCUCUACACUUGCACACACACACACACACACACACACACACACACACACACACACACUUAAACAAACAAAUGAUAAGAAUUGUACCAGCAGUCAUGACAGAAAGACAUCUCAUGGGAGAGAAGGCAGUCAUGGCACUUUCUCCCAGGACAUUUCCCGCCCCUCUCUUUCACCAAAACUGUACAUAUUCUAUGACUGGUCACCAUUGUCCUUCAGAGGAUUAGACAAGCAUAUCAUAACUAAAAUGUUUAUAUACUCUGAUUGCUUAGCUUUCCUUUUUUAAUUUUUGGACAGGAUGUUAUGUUGCCCAGGUUGGCUCAAACUCACUACAGGGUAACCUUCAACUUGUGAUCCUCCUGCCUCCGCCUCCCAAGUGCUGGGAUUGCAGGUGGACCACUACACACUCCAUUUCUAUGGAACUGAGGGUAGAAUCCAGGGCUUCAUCCCCCAAGCAAGCAUUCUACCAACCGGGCCACCCCCCUAGCCCCAUUGCUUUAUUUCUUUGAAUAUUCACUUUGCUGGAGGGCACAGUUGUUUGAGACAACAUAUCCCUGUGUACCUCAGUCUGGCCUGAAACUCUCAAUCCUCCUGCCUCAGCCUCCUGGGCACUGAAUAUUCUUCCAGAUGAACCUUAAGGAUGAUUCUCUCUUGCUUUUCAAAACCGGCCACCUAGUGCAGAGGGACUGUGUAGAUUAAUUCCAGAAUGACUCCGAGGGACUAUCCCAGCCUCUUUGCCUUAUUUUUCCCUUUCCUGUCCCUUGGGAAGACAUUAUUGAACUCUUUAUAAUGAUCCUAAAUUUUUCUUGUCAAAGUUUCUAGAAAUUCCUCGGGGCUUCUGCGCUGCUGUUUUUAUUGGGCCCAUCUCAGGUGGGGACCAAUUAUUUCAUUACUUGUUCUGACCACUUGUUCUUUAGAACAAAUAAAGUUAUUGAUCUGUGUUACGCGUUUUCUCUCCGGCUCUGUAUCUUUAUAUUAAAUCCGUAUAUUAAAUUAUUUUUCAGCUGCUUCUCUUGGGUCUCAAAUCACACUGACGGCAAAUAAGUACAAAUUAUUCUUCUCCUAGAGAUGGCCAUCCAAUCCGCUUUCCUGUCUUAUUGCUGUGUCUACCAUCACAGUACAAACAGAGAGGUGCUGUCUUUUCUCUAAUAAAAGGUUUUGAACGAGAAUGAUUUUUUUUUUUUUUUUUUUUUU
rnacentral:sRNA from 1 species